rnacentral:rRNA from 1 species
GCCCGACUUUGGGUAGUUAGCAUGCAGUCGAUGGGAUACCUAAAUUUCCCAUGGCAAACUGCUCAGUAACACAUGAUCAACUUACCCUAUAGAGAGAUAUAACCUCGGGAAACUGAGGAUAAUAUUUCAUAGUUGAAUUGGCUUGGAAAAGUUUUUCAAUCAAAGGAAUAAGAAAAAUGGUUCUUAUUUGCUGUAGGAUAGGAUCGUGUUCGAUUAUGGUUGUUGGUGAGAUAAUGGCUCACCAAGCCGAUAAUCGAUAGGGGCCGUGAGAGCGGGAGCCCCGAGAUGGGUACUGAGACAACGACCCAGGCCUUACGAGGCGCAGCAGGCGCGAGACCUCCACAAUACACGAAAGUGUGAUGGGGUUACCCAAAGUGUUCAAUAUUGAACUGUGGUAGGUGAGUAAUGUUCCCUACUAGAAAGGAGAGGGCAAGGCUGGUGCCAGCCGCCGCGGUAAAACCAGCUCUUCAAGUGGUCGGGAUAAUUAUUGGGCUUAAAGUGUCCGUAGCUGGUUUAGUAAGUUCCUGGUAAAAUCGGGUAGCUUAACUAUUUGUAUGCUAGGAAUACUGCUAUACUAGAGGGCGGGAGAGGUCUGAGGUACUACAAGGGUAGGGGUGAAAUCUUAUAAUCCUUGUAGGACCACCAGUGGCGAAGGCGUCAGACUGGAACGCGCCUGACAGUGAGGGACGAAAGCCAGGGGAGCGAACCGGAUUAGAUACCCGGGUAGUCCUGGCCGUAAACGAUGCAUACUAGGUGAUGGCACGGUCAUGAGCCGUGUCAGUGCCGUAGGGAAACCGUUAAGUGUGCCGCCUGGGAAGUACGGUCGCAAGGCUAAAACUUAAAGGAAUUGGCGGGGGAGCACCACAAAGGGGUGAAGCCUGCGGUUCAAUUGGAUUCAACGCCGGG